CCACCAUCAUCAUCCUAUCCUUUUAUACUCAAUAGGAAGUGACUUCACGAAAGCCACUGCAGGUGAAAAAUGGACAAGAAGCUUGCUCAGAGCUAGUCAACACCGGAGAGAAAGGAGGCCAACAGCAGGCGACCAGCAGGCAAAGGACAGAGAUGGAGACGACUCAGGUCCUGCUCUGAAAGGAGGGAAGAAGGUGCUGGGAUUAAAGGCAUACACCACCACCUCCUGGCCUAUGGAACAGGAGUCUUAUAGUGAGUGGUCAGACAAGGAGAACCCAGGGCCCCUGACUUCAGCCCGGGCUGCCUGAUCUCCUGCAGGUUGCCUGGUAACCAGGGCAUAGCCCACUUUAGAAACCUAAGGCUUCAAGGGGGAGAGAAUGGAUCAGAAGAGGAGAGGAUCCUGGGCCCACAUGUUCACCAUUCAGUCACUGUG
ensembl:lncRNA